UUAUUGACAUUACAUGUCAAAAUGAUCUGGUUAUUAGCCUUUUAUCAUUUAUUUUUCUAUUACCCUCAUUGCCGGCAGUGAUGCCGGUUUUUUUU
rnacentral:sRNA from 2 species